UGGCUCAGAUUGAACGCUGGCGGCAGGCCUAACACAUGCAAGUCGAGCGGAAACGAGAUAUCUGAACCUUCGGGGAACGAUAUCGGCGUCGAGCGGCGGACGGGUGAGUAAUGCCUGGGAAAUUGCCCUGAUGUGGGGGAUAACCAUUGGAAACGAUGGCUAAUACCGCAUAAUAGCUUCGGCUCAAAGAGGGGGACCUUCGGGCCUCUCGCGUCAGGAUAUGCCCAGGUGGGAUUAGCUAGUUGGUGAGGUAAGGGCUCACCAAGGCGACGAUCCCUAGCUGGUCUGAGAGGAUGAUCAGCCACACUGGAACUGAGACACGGUCCAGACUCCUACGGGAGGCAGCAGUGGGGAAUAUUGCACAAUGGGCGCAAG
rnacentral:rRNA from 1 species